UGUAGAGGCAGACCAGGGGAACUGAAACAUCUAAGUACCCUGAGGAAGAGAAAACAAUAGUGAUUCCGUCAGUAGCGGCGAGCGAACGCGGAACAGCCUAAACCUAAGAGCUUGCUCUUAGGGGUUGUGGGACGUCUCACAUGGAGUUACAAAGGAAUAUGGUAGGUGAAGAGGUCUGGAAAGGCCCGCGAUAGAGGUAAAAGCCCUGUAACCUAAACUGUAUUCUCUCCGAGACGGAUCCCGAGUAGUGCGGGGCACGUGAAACCCCGUAUGAAUCCAGCAGGACCAUCUGCUAAGGCUAAAUACUACCUGGCGACCGAUAGUGAAACAGUACCGUGAGGGAAAGGUGAAAAGCACCCCGGAAGGGGAGUGAAAUAGAACCUGAAACCGUGUGCUUACAAAAAGUCAGAGCCCUAUUAAUGGGUGAUGGCGUGCCUUUUGUAGAAUGAACCGGCGAGUUACGUUUAACAUGCAAGGUUAAGCCGAGAAGGUGGAGCCGCAGCGAAAGCGAGUCUGAAUAGGGCGAUUUAGUAUGUGGACGUAGACCCGAAACCGUGUGAUCUACCCCUGUCCAGGGUGAAGGUGCGGUAACACGCACUGGAGGCCCGAACCCACGUACGUUGAAAAGUGCGGGGAUGAGGUGGGGGUAGCGGAGAAAUUCCAAUCGAACUCGGAGAUAGCUGGUUCUCCCCGAAAUAGCUUUAGGGCUAGCCUCGGUAUAAGAGUAGUGGAGGUAGAGCACUGAUUGGGUGCGGGGUCCGCAAGGAUUACCAAGCUCAGUCAAACUCCGAAUGCCAUAUACUUAUUGCCGGGAGUCAGACAGUGAGUGCUAAGAUCCAUUGUCAAAAGGGAAACAGCCCAGACCAUCAGCUAAGGUCCCCAAGUGUGUGUUAAGUGGGAAAGGAUGUGGAGUUGCACAGACAACCAGGAUGUUGGCUUAGAAGCAGCCACCAUUGAAAGAGUGCGUAAUAGCUCACUGGUCGAGUGACUCUGCGCCGAAAAUGUAACGGGGCUAAACACACCACCGAAGCUAUGGCUAGAU
rnacentral:rRNA from 1 species